AUGCAGCUAUUGACAGGCCUGGAGCACUUACUAUCUUACUAUCUGGAACACUUACUAUCAAGUGGAAACUUGCUAAGGUUUCCACUACAGAUGCAACAAAAAAGUGUCCUCACACUUUCUGUCUGAUUGUGGCAGCCCAGACUGAAUGGGGGAAACACCA
ensembl:snoRNA